GGCAGUCAGUCACCUGUCGACAAGCUCCAUGUGAUGGUCUCUUGCAAGCAGGCACAGUUGAUCUAGUGAAAAUGGUGACCCUUGACCUCAGAGAGUCUAUAUCAAGGAUUCUGGGAAGAUGAACCCUGUGCAUGUUCAGGGCUCCCCAGCCACGCAGGCCAGGCAGAUUGCCUGUCUACCUGAAGAGUAGUUCCAUCUAUACCAUCUUUCAAGUGACAAAGGCAUUGCAGGUUGACUCCAGCCGAGCCAGAAGGAAGCCCAGGCUCCGAUGCCCACAAUUAUUUAAACGGUCCUUGAUGAUCCAGAUGGUAUUUCGGAUUCUUGCAACACAUCAAAAAUCACGUGAGCACACAUUUUUUUGGCAAUGGCACGGAGGGGAAUGUCUGAUCGAAGAAGCAGCUUCUGUCUGGUUGAAUUCCAGUGAGUGUAUUUGUUAAAUCUAUUUAUACAUAGAGUACACUCUGGUUUAGCUAUCACACACAGAAUCAAAAUAUAACCAUUUAAUGUAAUGGGAGUAAGCAUAGCAUCCAAUGGUUUGGAGACUAAUCCAUCCCACUGGAAAGAUGCCCUUGAGAGUAAAGAAGGCCAGAGCUUGGAAGGCCCAACUGGGGAAAGGGAAAAAGGUCUUACAUGUGAGGCAGGAGAUUGAUAGGGUAAAAACACAGACUCACAUCCUGCCUCUGUUACCAUAUAUGGACUGGCCUUAGACAUUGUACUUGACCUCACCUGUGCCUAUUUCUCUUCAUCUGUAAAAUGGGAUGACGAUUAAAAAAAUACCUAUUCCUCAGGAAUGAUCAUUAGAGGUAAAGAAGUGACAGAUAUCUUAGGACUUACUACUCCUUUUUGUUUUGGACCUUCUGCUUGGGUUCUUCAGAUAGACAAAAUCAAUAAGAGGCAGGCAUAUUGGUUUCCUUGAUACUUGGGAGAAUGGCUAGGGCUUUCUGCAGAUACCCAAGUCUAAGGAUGCUUGGAUGUAGUGAUCAGAGGAAGCCCUGAGUGAUAAAGUCCUAAGUGAAUGUGUGCUGUUGACAUGGAUACAUCCACAACAAGGACCAAGGCCUUGGGCCUAUGGGAGACUGUCAAAGCCUUCUUUUUCUGGUCCAACUAUAACUGUACGGAGGGUUAAGCAGUGUGUAUAAGUACUAGUAACUGCAGCUUCCUCCUCCAAGAUGUUUACAAUGUGAGACUGCUAACCUAUAGAGACCUCCUACGAGACUAGCUAACCCCUCCCCCUGUGCUGUCACAAUAACCACACUGAGGGCUCUCAUUGCUUGAGGGAGUAAGUUCCAUCAAAGUACACACACCCCACCUGACCACAGCCUUUUUGUAUGAGUGUCUCUGUGUCCAUCCUUUCUUAUUUCAUUGCUGCUCCUAGUCAGGGUUCAGGCUUAACAUUCAUGUCCCUUAUAUAGAGUAUUGGCUUAUAACCUGAAGUUAUCCUAUGUAAUUUAACUUAUCCCUAGAUUAUUUAUAAUACCUGAUAUAUACAUAUUUUGUUAACAUCUGCAAUACUAUAUUAUCUAGGGAAUAAAGACAAGUAGAAGGAGUAUGAAUACAUUAAAUUUGCUACAACUAUUAGCUUUGGAAUAUUUUUAAUCCACAGUUGGCCAAGUCUGUGGCUACAGAACCUGGGGAUAUGAGCAAGGGAGGAGGGGGGAAUUGAACAGACAGAUGGGAGUGGAUCUAGCAGAAAAGAGUGGAAUAUGAAAGUCCCAGGACACUGUCCCCAAGCUUGGGACCCUGGUGGUAUGGCAUGGCUCAAGUCCAAAGGUCUUAAAACCAAAAAUGUAGAUUGUAUUAUUCCUCAUCAGAAGCAACAGGCUUGAGCAUCCAGAGGGAAGGGGUGCAGUGACAUAAAUCCUGGCGUUCACAAACCAGGAAGCCUGGAUUUCUGAUGUCUUAGGACAUCACAGGUAAGACGCCAACUCGUCUUUCCUCUGCCUUCUCUUCUAUUCUGACUCCUAGCAGUUGGGACAAGGCCCAUUGACACUGAGGGUGGAUCUUCUCUGCUCAGCUCACAACUCAAUCUGCCCAUCUUCUCCAAAGUAUGCUCACAGGCACACCUAUGACUAAUUCUCACCAGUCCUCCAGGAAUCCCUAGUCCAGUUAAAGUAUCACUUAAAAAAUUAAUCAUCAGUUCCCCAGGUGCCUCUACCAAGUUCUUGAAUAUUUUAGUCUCAGUCUUUAAACUCUAAAGUCUGCCUCCUGUAACAUUCUUCAUGUAGAAAAGCCAUAACUCCUAAGCCUCCCUAAAUAAUGCCACAAACUGGUGGUCAAGUAUUAAAAUACCUGAAAGUAUGGGGAUAGACUUGAACAGAAGAUCGAAAAUUAGGUUGGGUGGUGGUGGUACAUGUCUUUAGUCCCACCACUCUGGAGACAGAAUGGCCCCCAUAGGCGCACAUAGUCUAAUGCUUAUUCGUCAGGGAGUGGAACUCUUUGAAAGGAUUAGAAGGAUUAGGAGGUAUGGAUUUGUUGGAGGAAAUGUGUCACUGAGGUUGUGCUGUGAGAUUUCAAAAGCCCAUGCUAUCUGUCUUAGGGUUUCAUUGCUAUGAAGAGACAAUAUGACCAAUGCAACUCUUUUAAAGACAAACAUUUAGUUGGGGCUGGCUUAAAGUUUCAGAAGUUCAGUUCAUUGUCACCAUGGUGGGAAGCAUGAUAGCAUGCAGGCAGACUUGGUACUGGAGGAGCUGAGAGUUUUACAUCUUGAUCUAAAGGCAGCCAGGAGACUAUCUUCUGCAGAUAUCCAGGAGGAGGUCUGAUUCCACUUUGGGCAUAGCUUGUGCAUAAAGACCUCAAAGCUUACCUCCACAGUGACACAUUUCCUACAACAAAGACCACACAUACUCCAACAGGGCCACACCUCCUAAUAGUGCUGCUCCCCAUGGACCAAGCAUAUUCAAUCCACCAUAUCAUCUCUCAUCAUCUCUCUCUUUCUUUGCGUGUAGAUCAAUAUAUAAAUCUCUAAGCUACUUCUCCAGCACCAUGCAUGCUGCCAUGCUCCCAACAUGAAGAUGAUAUACUAAACCUCUGAACUGUAAGUGAGCCCCCAAUUAAAUGCUUUCCUUUAUAAGAGGUGCCUUGGACAUGGUGUCUCUUCACAGUGAUAGAACAGUGACUAAGACACUAAUCAUCCAAGAUAAAACAAACAAUGAGAUACAGCUCACCCCAGUUAGAAUCACUAUUAUUAAAAAGACAAAAGAGAAUAAAUUUGAUGAGAAAGUGGGAGAAGUAGAGGCUCUCACACAUUAUUAGUGGGAAUGUAAACUGGUUUCCAAUUACAGAAAACAGGGUGGGUUCUCAUUUGGAAGUGCCACUACUGAGUGUAUAGUCAAAGGAAAAAGGAAUUGUAUGUUACAAAGACCUUUGCAUGAACUGACCUAGAUGUCCAUCAAUAAAUGAACAAGCAGAAUAAUGUGAAGCAGUUAACAGAGCAGCAUUUAAGCUAGUGGUUUUGUAUCUUUCUAAUGCGACAACUGUUCUGCAUGUUGUGGUGCCCCCCGCCACCAGAAAAUUAUUUUCAUUGCUACUCCACAACUGUGAUUUUGCUACAGUUCUGAAUUGUGAUAUAAAUAUAUGAUAUGCAGAAUAUAUAAUAGGCAACCCCUAUGAAAGGAUUGUUGAACCCCAAAGGGGUCAAGACCAAUAGGUUGAGAACCAUUGGCUUAAAAAGAAUGAAUUCUGUAAUUGUCAGCUGCCCUGUGGAACUGAAGAAUACCCCGUUGAGUUAAAGACAGGUACACAAAGACAAAAGUGGCAUAAUUUUACUUAUUGGUACAAACUGAAGAGCUGAUCUCAUAGAAAUAAAUAUGGAAUUAUUGUUUCCAGAGCUGGGAGAGAGAAUGGAGAAAGGGGAGAUGGGGGAAGGCUGGUUAAGGGUGCAAGUAGGUGAGACAAUGGUCUCUAGUGCUCUAAAGCACAGCAGAGUAACUAAGGCUGAUGACUCUAUCAAUUAUAGAUUUUGAAAUGAGGAUCUCAGAUGACUUUGAAUAUUAUUAACAUGAAGAAAUAUAAAUGUCUGAGAUUUCACAUAUGCUAAUUACUCUAACUGGUCACAUCUCACUCUCUCUCUCUCUCACACACACACACACACACAUACACACACACUGAAAUGUUAUACUGCAACAAUCAUAUAUAAUUGCUAUGUGGUAACAAAAAUAAAAGCAAACAAAUGUUAAGAAACCUGGAAUUCAUUUUCACUUAGUCAUCAAAGAAACGGAUAUGAAAACAGUUCUACCUAUCAAACUGAUUAAGGUUUUUCACUGCCAAAUUAAGUCACCAAUAUGCAUAUAUGUGACUUUCUUUGAUGAUGGAUAGUGAUCUGGAAAGUAUAAGAUAAAUAAAC